UACAGAGGGGGCAAGCGUUGUCCGGAAUCAUUGGGCGUAAAGCGCGUGUAGGCGGCCUUGUAAGUCCGUUCUGAAAGUCCGGGGCUCAACCCCGGGAGGCGGAUGGAUACUGCAAGGCUCGAGUCCGGAAGAGGCAAGUGGAAUUCCCGGUGUAGCGGUGAAAUGCGCAGAUAUCGGGAAGAACACCCGUGGCGAAGGCGGCUCUCUGGGACGGUACUGACGCUGAGACGCGAAAGCGUGGGGAGCGAACAGG
rnacentral:rRNA from 1 species